AUUCUUUAGUAAAUGGUGAUUAACACAGAUUUUCCCACCCAUUCUGAGAAGUCGAUCUAGGGCUUAGGAUCUGAACAAGUUGCUUUGCAUAGGCUCUGCUCUGAAGACUGAGGUGGGUCUGCCACUCUGUAGGCUGAAACACGAGCUCUGGAGACUGUCAUUUGCACUUGUGUCUAGAAGUGCCUGUCUUCUGACUAUCGUAUUCUUCCAUGGAGCACCGGGGUGGCAGAUCUCCAGGAGAACCCAUUCUGCCUUUCAUUGAGGUUGCCUUCCAUCCUGGAGUCAAGUUCUGCCCAACAUCACAGGAUUUAGUUGCCUCCUUCACUCCUUUUUGGCUACUAGGCUACUAUUCUAUAUACUAAGUAUCGCACUCUGAGUCUUCCUGGCCAAUAUAACUGGAUUGAGAAGCACCUAAAAGAUAGAUCUUUGGAACCUUCAUGAAACUACUUCCAUGUUGGAAUGUGGAAUUUGGGGAACUUGAAUCUGUAUUUCCUGGCUGUGACCACUCUCAUAUUUUGCUCCAGAAUAAACUAUCUCCUAUCUCUUUUGAGAAUCUCUGGACUCAUUAAACAGUACCAGUGCCUGGGCCAGCAAGAUGGAUGGCUUGGUGGGUAAAGGUGCCUGCUACAGAGCCUGAGGAUGCCAGCCCAACCCCUGGAACCCACACGGUGGAAGAAAACUAACUUUAACAAGCUGUCUUUUGAUGUCCACAUGUGAGUUGAGGUGUGAGCCCCCCUCCUUAGCUAAACAGACCUAUGUAAUAAAAAAGUAAUUCAAACCAACAACUCUGGUGAUUUUCUGUUUCUGUCUCUCUAGCUGAGUCCACUCAGAUCUACUUCCUGUCUCUGACUAUACCUAUUCCAGGCACUCUGUGCAAUUAUGGAUACUGGUCCUCUUG
rnacentral:lncRNA from 1 species